rfam:Schistosoma haematobium scaffold142_19, whole genome shotgun sequence.
AUCCAACUGACGAGUCCUAAAUAGGACGAAACGCUCGUCCUGGAU